AAACCGUUCAAGCGCUAUGUGAAGAAGAAAGCCAAGCCCAAGAAGUGCGCCCGGCGCUUCACCGACUACUGUGACCUGAACAAGGAUAAGGCCAUCUCGCUGCCUGAGCUGAAGGGCUGCCUGGGUGUUAGCAAAGAAGUUGGACGUCUCGUCUAAAGAGCAGAAAAAUCGAAAGGCCAAUGGAGAGUCUGAGAAGACAGGACUGACCAUCAGACACCUAACCUUCAGCGCUGCCCGUGGCCCAGCCACAGCCCAUGUAACAUAAGUGGUGCCCUCCAUGUUUGCACUUUUAAUAACUCUUAUGUGUGUGUUCUGUUUCUGGUUCCAUUUGUAAACACCAGUUAUCUAAUACCGCAGUGGGAUCAGGAAAGGGAAGAAAAGCUGUUUAUUCUCUCUUUUAUUGUUAAGUUUUUGGAUCUGCUACUGACAACUUGUAGGUUAUCAGGGGAGGGGUGGGACCAAGAAGAAAGAGAUUUAUAUACUGUAUAUAAAUAUAUAUGUAAAUUGUAUAGAUCUUUUGUACAGGCAUUGACAUCACUGUUUGUCCCUUCCCUUCCCAAUACUUCCUCUGGACUCAUAGUCCAACUCUCUCAAACUGUAUCCUUAGCUUACCUGAGUUUCACUGUGGAUGGACUCUGUGAGAGUAGCUAGGAGCCCUGUGCUUGUGCUGUGGACACCACGUUUUCUUCUGGUGAGAAGAGGGUACUGGUCCAUGCCAUUAGCUCUCAAAGUUCAGUCACUUGGCUGUUGGCUGGUUAGGAGGGGAGCCCAGCUCCUGUGAGG
rnacentral:lncRNA from 1 species